CCCAGGGAUCUCCUUUGAUAAUUUCUAGGAAAUGUUGAAUUCUAAGAAGAUAGGGUAUAUUACAGAAUACCUGAUAUUUGGAUGUAACUGCAAACUGCAUCAUACCCUUUUCUACUUCUUCAGCAACUAGCUAUAUUCUCAAUAUAUAUUUACACUAAUUCCAGAAUAUUCCAGCACUAAUUUCCUGAUGCAACUUAGUAAUGAAGUUGUCUCACAUGUUCUUUAUUUUUUUGGUUUAUUUGGUAAUCUCUACACCCAAUGUGGGGCUUGAAUUCAUGACCCCAAGAUCAAGAGCUGUGUUCUCUCCUGACUGAGCCAGCCAGGCACCCCCAUAUUCCUUAUAUUCUAUGAUAAUUUAUUCAGAAUCAGCUAUGUGAAGUUCAAUAGUAGAUGGGUGGUGAUUGGAUGCUAAGUUGACUACCAAUAUAGAUUCUUUCAUAAGAAUUCACUAACAGUUAUACUAUUAUCACUAGAAGAACAGUAGCUAAUCUUUAGUUGCCAAAUAAUCUUGCAAGGGUUUACAGGUAGGGGCACCUGGGUAACUCAGUGGUUGGGCAUCUGCCUUUGGCUCAGGUCGUGAUCCUGUGGUCCUGGGAUCAAGUCCUGAAUCGGGCUCCUCACAGGGAACCUGCCUCUCCCUAUGUCUCUGCCUCUUUCUUUGUGUUGAAUAAAUAAAUAAAAUCUUAAAAAAAAAAAAAACCCAAGGGUUUACAAGUAUUAAUCCUUACAAAAACACUGUUAGAUAGGUAUUAACUUCACCAUUUUACAACUGAGGCACAAAGCUAAUAAGUAUAUUGUUGAAUAUCUUGAAGAUGAUGAUAGGCUAAGUAUGUGCUGUGACUAAAGGCUUUCCUUCAGUUGUACAACCAAUAGAGUAAGAAAUUCUGUGUGAAUCUGCUAACAUUCAACAGGAACUGAGUGAUUUUAGAAGUCUUAUAUAUUCAAUAGAUUAAGACACCUGGUAUGAAAUCUUUUAUGCCAAAUAAGUUGUAAGAAUGACCCCCCCAGAAAAGGGUUUCCUAAACAUUUUCCCCUAGUAUUGAUAUUCUAUGAAGAGUGGAGUAAAAGAAAAAGUACUGUUUUUUUAAAACACUUUUAGGGAUCCCUGGGUGGCACAGCGGUUUGGUGCCUGCCUUUGGCCCAGGGCGCGAUCCUGGAGACCUGGGAUCGAAUCCCACGUCGGGCUCCCGGUGCAUGGAGCCUGCUUCUCCCUCUGCCUGUGCCUGUGCCUCUCUCUCUCUCUCUCUCUCUCUCUCUCUCUCUCUCUGUGACUAUCACAAAUAAAUAAAAAUUAAAAAAAAAAAACACUUUUAUAAUAACUCCGUAAGGCUAUGAGUUCUCAGAUUUGAUAGUGGCAGAAUAUUGGGCUUCAUACAUUUCUUACCUUUUGAGAGUUUUUCACCAUUAUAAAUUCUCUGAUGCUCAAUAAGGUAUAAACAAAAUCUAAAGGCAUGCCCACAUUCUUUACAUUCAGAGUUUCUCUUUAUAUUCACUGAUGUUCAUUUUAUCUAAAGGCCUUCUCACAUCACUCCUCACUUCAUAGGACUGGUUUCUUAGCAUUGUGAAAUAUCUGAUGCUCUGUAAGAAUUUGAUGAAAUUGAAAGGCCUUUCCAUAUACUUUCAAUUCAGAAUUUCUCCUUAGUAUGCAUUUUUGAUGUUGAUUAAAUGUUGAACUCCAUCUACAGGCAUUCUCACAUUCCUUACAUUUAUUUGUAGGGUUUCUCUUUAGUGUGUAUGCUCUGAUGUUGGUUAAGUUGAAUUCUGUCUAAAGGCCUGCCACAUUUCUUACAUUCCUAGGGCUUCUUACCAGUAUGAAUACUGUGAUGACUUUUAAGGUGUGAAUGCAAUCUAAAGGCUUUUCUACAUUCCUUACAUUCAUAAGAUUUCUCAUCUUUAUGAAUUUUUUAUGUCAACUAAGCUGUUCAUGCAAUAUAAAUGAUUUUUCACAUUCCUUACAUUCAUAGGGCUUUUCAUAAAUACGAAUUUUCUGGUAUACUCUAAAGUAUCUCAAAGAACUGAAGGUCUUCCCACAGUCCUGACAUUUAUAGGGUUUCCCACCAAAAUGAGUAUUCUGGUAUAUUUUAAGGUCUUUGACAAAACUAAAAGCUUUCCUACAUUCUUUACUUUUAUAGGGUUUCACAGUUCUAUGAGUUUUUGAUGUUGAGUAAGAUGCUAAUGUAUUCUAAAGGCCUUCCAACAUUCCUUACACUCAUAGGGUUUUUUGCCAGUAUUUUUUUGGUGGACUCUUACAUACCUGCCCAAACUAAAAGUCUUUCAUUCAUAGGAUUUCUCACCAGUAUUCUAAGAUCUCUGCCAAAACUGAAAGCCUUCCCACAUUCUAGAUAUUUAUAAAUUUUCAGAUGUUGAGUUGUCCCUGAAGCCUAAAGGCCUUCCCACAUUCCUUAGAUGUAUAAGUCUUCUCACCAGUGUGAAUUCUCUAAUGUUUGAUUAGGUCUGAGCCCUAAUUAAAGAUAUUUCUACAUUCCUUACAUUCAUAAUAUUUCUGUGAGUAGAUAUAUAUUCAUGGAUGAUUUUCAAUUGGCUGAAAUCUUCUUGAGGCUCUUGUUUCUCAAUCUUGAUUUUGUUCUUCUGCUACUUUAGAUAAUGGAACCUUCAAUAUCAGGCAUUUUACUUCUUUAUCUUCUGUUUGUAUAAGUUUAUUUCAAAAAUGUUCUCUUCUGGAGAUAAUGUCUUUGUAUCACACCUGGCCUCCAAACCUGAAAAGAAAAAGAACGAGAAAACAAACAAAUGUUGUUCUCCCAUUCCAGUGAGGAGAUAAGUGAUAUAAACUGUAAAAAAGUAAAACUGUAGGGGUGCCAGGGUGCCUCAGUCAGUUAAACGUCUGACUCUUGAUUUUGGCUCAGGUCAUGAUCUCAGAGUUGUGAAAUCGAUCCCUACAUCAAGUUCUGCACUCAGCACUGAGCUUAUCUCAAGCCAGUAUCCUUUUAACCUUACAAAUCCCUUUAAGGCUCUAAAUCAUGAUACAUCAUUUCCUACUUCUUGGAAUUUCCCAUAAGGUGUUUCAUCUCUGUGACCCUCUGAUACAGCUCUUUGUAGGACUGGGCUCCCUCUCAUUCUCCAGGAUUCAAGAUUAAAAGUCAUUUCUUCAGAAAAGCUGUAUGAUCAGAACCUACCUAAUUCCAAGUCCAUUAUUCUCUAUUCUAGUAUCUUUUGCUUUAAUCUUAUUUCACUUUGAACUUAUUUGCUUUGAUCUUAUAUGUAUUUCCAUUACAUAUUCAUUACUUUCCUAAUUUGUUAAUCCAUUUAUUUUGUUUUUCUUUCUUUCUUAUUUAUUUAUUUUUUCAUUUAGGCUCCAGGCCCAGAGUGGAGCCCAAUGAGAGGCCCCAAACUCAGGACCUUGAGAUCAAGACCUGAGCCAAAAUCAAGAGUUGAUGCUUAAAUGACUGAGCCUGUUAGGUGCCCCUCCACUUAUUUUCGUUGAUUUCUGUAACCUCAAACUUACUAUGAUUAAAUCUAAUUCCACUUUAUUCACAACUAAGAAACAAGGGGUGGGGUGGCUAGCUGGCUCAGUUAGUGGAACAUGCAGUUCUUGAUCUCCAGGUUGUGAGUUCGAGCCCCACAUUGAGUUUAGAGAUUACUUAAAAAUAAAAUCUUUAAAAAUAAAAUAAAAUAAAAUAAAAUCUUUAAAAAAG
rnacentral:lncRNA from 1 species